CUUCCUUAAGAUGGCCACAGCUGAGAAUAUCACCGGGUGCUAUUGAGAACGGGAUGUUAUUUUAUACCUGAAGAGCAUUAUUCCAAUGACCCGCUGGGCAGUGUCCGGGAAACUUCAGUUAUUUUCCGCUGGGAGAUUGCUGAGCCAAUGGAUUUGGUUGAUGUCACAGUCGGUGUCUUAAUGCAUGAAAGGGAUCAUUUGACCACGAGAACGGUGUGAACCUCAAACCACCCCCAACCGGCUGAAGAAGAGCGAC